AAACUGCGAAAAGUUAUGUGACCUGCAAUCUUCGCGAAUCAUCCAAUUUUUGAACGCACUUUGCACCUUGCGGCUCAUGCCACUAGGUAUACUUGUUUGAGUAUCCACAACCAUCUCACCUCUCCGUAAGGCGAAGUGGACUUGAGAGCUCCACUGGCUGUCGUUCAUCGGCAGCUAGUUGUCUCUUUAAAUGCAUGGCUGAAACAUAUGGCAGGUCUCCGCUGGGAGCCUGGCAGACCAUUGGGAUAAUGUCCUACAAUCGUUUGUCAGACUCUGCAUCAGCGUUGACGUGUUCAUAGCCACCUUGAUCAAAGCUUGCAGCGCUCGUGAAAGCGUGCCUGUGGGAAGCGAUCGCUAGGUCACAUGUAUUUGUGGCUUGUUUAAUGGAUCUCAAAUCAAG
rnacentral:misc_RNA from 1 species